UAAAUACAUGUCAUACUGCUAUGUCUGGCAAUGCCUACAAAUCAGGCAGCCACAAAGCUUUUUAAAAAGGGAUAUAAAGGAAGCUGAAGGAUAUCAAUCAAUCCUCCAGUUUUUCAAAGCAGCAGACAAGGAACAUAAAUACGACACUCUUUGUGCACAUGGUGCAUAAUUCAUUUGUUCGGCUGCAACUGACUCCUCCAAGUAGUCUGUGAAAGAAAGGAGUUUUUAUGCUCGUUUGAUUUGCCGGUUGGUCAAGUGCUGCUAAUAAGGACUGUUUAUUGAUGCUGACGGGUUGCAUUUAUCUAGUUCUCCCUAUGAUUGUUUAGUAUCGAGAGGUGGUCAUUACCUUGCUAUGGCAAUGCUCAAUAAUUGAUGUGAUCCUUAGAGGUGGCUGCAUAAAUAUGCUGCUGACUCUUUUCCUCUUCCCUUCGAAAGACAAUUAAAAAGUGCUAUACUUGA